CCCUUAGAUGUUCUGGGCCGCACACGCGCUACACUGAAGGAGGCAGCGUGUACUCCUGGAUCGAAAGAUUUGGGUAACCCGCGAAUCUCCUUCGUGCUAGGGAUUGAGGUUUGCAAUUAUCCUUCAUGAACGAGGAAUUCCCAGUAAGUGCAAGUCAUAAGCUUGCGCUGACUACGUCCCUGCCCUUUGUACACACCGCCCGUCGCUACUACCGAUUGAAUGAUUUAGUGAGGACCUCGGACUGGGACCGAUGCGGCUUUCGGGCUGCGUCGGUAUUCUGGAAAGAUGUCCAAACUGUAUCAUUUAGAGGAAGUAAAAGUCGUAACA
rnacentral:rRNA from 1 species